GGGGAAUUUUACACAAUGGGGGAAACCCUGAUGUAGCGACACCGCGUGAGCGAAGAAGCCUUUUGGGGUGUAAAGCUCUGUCGGCAGGGACGAAAAAAAUGACGGUACCUGCAGAGGAAGCAUCGGCUAACUACGUGCCAGCAGCCGCGGUAAGACGUAGGAUGCGAGCGUUGUCCGGAUUUAUUGGGCGUAAAGAGUUCGUAGGCGGUUCGUUAAGUCUGGUGUUAAAGAUCAAGGCUCAACCUUGGGAUUGCAUUGGAUACUGGCGGACUUGAGUGCAGUAGAGGCGAGUGGAAUUCUCAGUGUAGCGGUGAAAUGCGUAGAUAUUGGGAAGAACACCAGUGGCGUAAGCGACUUGCUGGCCCGUAACUGACGCUGAGGAACGAAAGCCAGGGGAGCGAAUG
rnacentral:rRNA from 1 species